GACGGGGCCCGCACAAGCGGUGGAGCAUGUGGUUUAAUCGAAGCAACGCGAAGAACCUUACCAGGUCUUGACAUCCCGAUGCUAUUUCUAGAGAUAGAAAGUUACUUCGGUACAUCGGUGACAGGUGGUGCAUGGUUGUCGUCAGCUCGUGUCGUGAGAUGUUGGGUUAAGUCCCGCAACGAGCGCAACCCCUAUUGUUAGUUGCCAUCAUUCAGUUGGGCACUCUAGCGAGACUGCCGGUAAUAAACCGGAGGAAGGUGGGGAUGACGUCAAAUCAUCAUGCCCCUUAUGACCUGGGCUACACACGUGCUACAAUGGUUGGUACAACGAGUUGCGAGUCGGUGACGGCGAGCUAAUCUCUUAAAGCCAAUCUCAGUUCGGAUUGUAGGCUGCAACUCGCCUACAUGAAGUCGGAAUCGCUAGUAAUCGCGGAUCAGCACGCCGCGGUGAAUACGUUCCCGGGCCUU
rnacentral:rRNA from 1 species